GAGGAAUAAGCAUCGGCUAACUCCGUGCCAGCAGCCGCGGUAAUACGGGGGAUGCAAGCGUUAUCCGGAAUCAUUGGGCGUAAAGCGCCUGUAGGUUGUUUAUUAAGUCUGUUGUUAAAGACUAGGGCUCAACCCUAGAAAAGCAAUGGAAACUAAUAGACUCGAGUAUGGCAGGGGUAGAGGGAAUUUCUAGUGUAGCGGUGAAAUGCGUAGAUAUUAGAAAGAACACCGGUGGCGAAAGCGCUCUACUGGACCAUUACUGACACUCAGAGGCGAAAGCUAGGGUAGCAAAAGGGAUUAGAUACCCCUGUAGUCCUAGCCGUAAACGAUGGAUACUAGAUGUUGUGCAUUACGUACAGUAUCGUAGCUAACGCGUUAAGUAUCCCGCCUGGGGAGUACGCUCGCAAGGGUGAAACUCAAAGGAAUUGACGGGGGCCCGCACAAGCGGUGGAGCAUGUGGUUUAAUUCGAUGCAACGCGAAGAACCUUACCAGGGCUUGACAUACUACGGAUUUUUUUGAAAGAGAAAAGUGCCUUCGGGAAUGUAGAUACAGGUGGUGCAUGGCUGUCGUCAGCUCGUGUCGUGAGAUGUUGGGUUAAGUCCCGCAACGAGCGCAACCCUUAUUUUUAGUUACCAACUCGUUGGGUUCUCUAGAAAGACUGCCGGUGACAAACCGGAGGAAGGUGAGGAUGACGUCAAGUCAGCAUGCCCCUUAUGUCCUGGGCUACACACGGGCUACAAUGGUUAAGACGAAGAGUUGCGAGCUUGUAAAAGUCAGCUAAUCUCGUAAACUUAGCCUAAGUUCAGAUUGUAGGCUGCAACUCGCCUGCGUGAAG
rnacentral:rRNA from 1 species